CCUACCAAGGCGACGACGGGUAGCUGGUCUGAGAGGACAACCAGGCCACACUGGCACUGAGACACGGGCCAGACUCCUACGGGAGGCAGCAGUGAGGAAUAUUGCGCAAUGGGGGAAACCCUGACGCAGCAACGCCGCGUGUGGGAAGAAGGCUUUCGGGUUGUAAACCACUUUUGCCCGGGACGAAAAGGGGCCCAAUAAUACGGGGUUCCGAUGACGGUACCGGGAGAAUAAGCCACGGCUAACUCUGUGCCAGCAGCCGCGGUAAGACAGAGGUGGCAAGCGUUGUUCGGAAUUACUGGGCGUAAAGAGUCUGUAGGUGGUUUGUCAAGUCUUUGGUGAAAGGCCGUGGCUUAACCAUGGGAAUGCCAAAG
rnacentral:rRNA from 1 species